rnacentral:lncRNA from 1 species
AGAAUACCCAAAAUCAGCAAAGCAACUCUCAAACUUGUAAAUCAUAUAAGUUCUCAAACAUUUGAUUCAUACAAAUUCCAUAUCAACCAUCAAAUGAAAAAGUAGAAAACAAAAACCAUAAAUCUCAACUUGAUUUCGGUGAAGAUAUACAGUAAUUAAGAAAGAAGUGCGAAGUCCCAUAGCGAUUCUCACCGACUCUUUUCUAAUUUCUUACGACUUUGCAAGAGCUUGAAUCCAUAUACGUACCUAGUAGAAGCCUUCGAACCCAACACCAAAAGCAACCUUCACCGCUCUUGGUUUCAAGAAAAAAAUAGAUCUACAACAAAAUUACAACACAAUUUCGAACCCAAUUAGAAAUUAUCAUAGCACCUUUUCUCAUAGCAUUUCAGAUUUGAAUUUACAAAAAACCCACUUCGAAAAAAAUCGAAAAUAAUUCGAAGACUAUUUGAAAACGAAAUCAAAGGGAUACCCAGCAACAAAGGCACACAUCGUUGAAAAAAUUCGACAAAAAAACCCCCCCUAAUCGAUCUUGAAGACGAGUUGAAGAGAUUCACAAACCUUGAUUGAGGAACGCCGCUUUGCUAUUUGAAAGAGCGGGAGGCUACUGAAGCCCUAAUAUGAAUUGAUUUCAGG